GGCAUGACCUCGGCGACUUUGUAGGUGAACAUGACGGUGAGCAGCGUGGUGAGCGCCCAGACGGCGGCCUUGAUCCGCUCCCGGCGAGGGGAGUGGCGGUCGAGGCGCUCGUAGAGGCGCAGGCAGGCGAAGAGGGCCACGAGGUCGAGGUAGGAGAUGGCGACGAAGAUGACGGACCCCGCGUCGCCGUUGGAGCGGUAGACGGCCAUGCCGGAGUUGAAGGUCAGGAAGACGAACCCUAGCGCCGUGAGCCACGAGAACUCUGCCAUCGCUGGUGCUGCCGCGGAUCCGUGCUGGUGCUGCUACCUGCGAUGGAUAGGGGACAAGUCAGGAACCAUGGCGACCGGAAGGGUGGAUCUAAAGGGGGCGGAGACCGGAGAAGCCGCGACCGCCCGCGGAGUCGCCG
rnacentral:lncRNA from 1 species